UGGGAAGUGACAAGAAAUAUACACCAUCUAUUGUCUGAUUUUCAUCGUUCCGGAAGUUUUGCUGAUCCAUCGGAAUCGUUCCCGGAUGAGCAUGGAUGACAGAUUGUUUGCUAAAAUAUUCAACAGUUUCCAUUUGUCCGUCAGCGUCUUUUGAUUGAGUGUUUCAUUCAGUCUUGUGAUGAGAACAGUUGGGCGAUAGUAGGACACUGAAGACAAUUCAUCCAUUUUCCCUCGACAGUAAGUGAAGUGACAUUGUGAUCAGUGAUUGUUUCUUGCGUUCAGCAGUUGAUGUUUAGAGCAUGUGUACAAAAGAUAUCAUAUCGUUUGGAGAUAACAUCGGGAAAAACCCCUUCGAAGAAAAGAAAUCAUAUGACGUGCAGUGCAGAUUAGAGAAAAGCACGAGAACCGAUUCAAAAUUUGGAAACUACCGAAAGUGACAGACAGCAUCAUCUGCUUGCAGAGCAUCGAUCAAAGACCAGGAUUCACAUCGAGAAUUUAUAUUAAAUGCCUUCUUUCCAUAACCGAUAGAUCCAAUGAUUGAAUAAUCAUGGAAUUUGCUUUACAGAUGCAUUCAUAAGAUUUUAUGCUUUUUGACUCUUAUUUCAGCGAUGAUUUUCAGCAGCGUUGCUCUUACUGCCCCGCAGAGAGUGCUCCUGCUACUUGCCCGCCGGAUUGUUUCUGCAAGCGUCCACCAGAUGACAGCCAAUCUGAUCGAGUUUAAACAUACGUAACGGUGCAAUUUGAGGACUGAUUGUCUUUGCAAUCAAUUUGAAAUCUUAUCGCUCCACUCAACACGAACGGUGCAGAUAAAAUUUUCUUUCAAGUUAAAUUCAUUGUUGGAGAACCCAAUUUUCUACAGAGAAAAGUGAUGUAAAAAAUAUAAAGGAAUAUCUUAACAUUUUGAAAUUGUGACAAAAAAAACUAACAUUUAAAUAACUGUAGUUCAAUACCAAUUUCUAGCGUAAAUAGCAACAAGCUUCAUACAAUCAUCGUAAAAGCUUUUAAAUCAAACAAAUUUCAACUUACAGUGCUGCAGAAUUCGAUGUUUGCUUACGUGAAACUUAGGUGUACACAUUAUUAGUAGUGAAAAUGUUCUAUCCAUUGUCGGUGUAACAUAAUAUUAAAAAUUAAAUUUACUCUCUAAUAAAUAAAUACAUAACAUGA